AACGCCGCCGACGCCGUCACCGCCUUCGCCUUCGCCAUCGCCUUUGCCUUUGCCUUUAUCGCCUCUCCAGCUGUAGAAGCAUAUCCUGUCGCCAUGCCCAAGGAGGAUCCGUUCGUGAAUCGCGCUCAGCUGCUGAAGGCCAUCAAGAAGUAUCCAGAAAUUUGGGACUCCAACAACAAGCUCCACUUGUGCCGCAGCGUCACAUCGCCCAUGUGGAACGAGAUCGCCGAACAGUUUGGCGGUCAUGUGCCUACAGUCAAACUGCAGUCGAUUUGGAGUCAAAUGAAGUAUCACUACCACAAUCUGGUGCAUCGCCAGAUCCUGCACAAGGAGCGCUUUAACACCAAGUGGGAGCACUUCGAGCCCAUGUCUUUUAUGUACAACAUAACGGUGGCUAAGAUUGUGGGCGCUCAGGCCAACUCGAGCAACUCUGAGGCGAGCUCACCCAACGAGGCCGCUCACCAGGUGGGCGGCUCCCCGCCCGUACUGCCACCGCCCCCCUUGCCGAGUGCUACGCAUGGACGCGGGCGUCCCAGCGGCAGCUUCAGCUGGCUGCAGCCCACAGUCGCAGCGCCGCCAGCAAUUGCACCACAACCCGCUGCCCCCCCAGCUGGCAUCUCCGCCUCGCCGGAGCUGCCUCAUCUCAUUGAGCAGCCGGCAGCGCAUGGCAUGACCUACACCGCCUUCACAGGACUUGUGCCGCCGGCUGCUGUCACCGUGGAGGCAACGACCACGCCCAUGCGCAAACUGGGCCGGCCCAGUUCGUUGCACAACAGCAUGCGCGGCCGCAUCAUCGAUGCCAUUAAGGCGCGCCCUUCCCUGUGGGCGGGGCGCCAGCGCAGCGAAAAGGGACAGGGCCAGAGCCGCACCUCCGCCGUCUGGAAGGAGGCGGCCAACGAGAUGGGUCUAACACCAACACUCAUGCAGACGCGCUGGUCGAUCAUCAAGCAGCGCUACGUGGACGAGCUGCAGAAGGAGCGGCACGCCCAGUAUGCGCAGCAGGGCUUCCGGUCGAAUUGGGAGCACUUCGAGCGCAUGUCCUUUAUGCGGGAGAUGCUGCUCCGGAAGGUGGACGAGCGGGAGCAGACGCGCGAGCACAUUCAGGAGAUGGUCAGCGAGCAGCAGCAGCACCAGCACCAGCAACAACAACAACAACAGCAGCAGCAGCCCCACUCCCUGGCCAUUGGCCACGUCCAGCCGCAGGCGCAUCCCCUGCAGCUCUACCGGCCGCCCGGGCUGGCCGAGCACUCGCAGGACUUGCCCAUCGGUCAGGUGCAGCAGCAACUGGCGCAGCAUGGCGCCCAUCUAAUGCAUUCGCAGCAUCUGCUUCAUCAUCAUCACAACAACAAUCAUCUUCAUCUACAUCACCAGGCGCCCGGGGCGGGACGACGACGUGUCAAGCACGAAUCGGAUCUGGAGUGGGAUCCCUUCGAGAUGAUUCUCCAUGUGCAGGGCAAUGGUGAACCGGCGGCCAACUAAAGCAAGACUGAGAGCAGCAGCAGUAGUAACACAGAGACAGAGAGAGUGGGAAAUAGCGAAUGUAAAACUAACAGCAUUACAAUCCAAUUUGUAUUUCCAAUUUUUCACUUUUCAAUCAAAUAAAAACAUCACAUGAAACAAAAGGGGGAGAGAGAGAGAAGGAUGUUCCAUGUGUGAAGAAAUGUAUGUAUGUGU
rnacentral:misc_RNA from 1 species